AAUGUAUGGUCAGGUAUGCCCAAAGAAUGCUGUGGAGCUUGUCUACCCAAAGUCCUCUUUCUCUAUCCGGACACAUCUUCAGGCCCUACAAAAUUAUCCUAUUGGUUAUCUCCGCUUCUUCGUUUAACUGGGGGUGUCCAACUGAGGUAAGACGAUGUUUGAUGUGCAGAUUGGUGUAGAACGUUCUGAAGUAGGCAUUAUCAAACUUCUUUUCGUUGUCGGUAACAAUGGAAUGGGGAAGUCCGAAGCAGCAUAGGACUCAUCUCCAUACGAAAUCAUGGGUGUUCUUCUCGGUGAUUCAGGCUAGAGGCUCGGCUUCAAUCCACUUGUAAAGUAGUCGAUGGCCACUAUCAAGAAUUUUCUCUCCUCGGUCAUUUGAGGGAAUGACCUAAGGAUGUUCCAGCCCCACUGGGCAAAUCGAUCAUGGCACGCUAAUUGGUGUGAGAGGCAUG
rnacentral:lncRNA from 1 species